rnacentral:rRNA from 1 species
UGGGCGCUGGAGAAUUGAGGGGGGCUGCUCCUAGUACGAGAGGACCGGAGUGGACGCAUCACUGGUGUUCGGGUUGUCAUGCCAAUGGCACUGCCCGGUAGCUAAAUGCGGAAGAGAUAAGUGCUGAAAGCAUCUAAGCACGAAACUUGCCCCGAGAUGAGUUCUCCCUGAGACUUUAAGUCUCCUGAAGGAACGUUGAAGACGACGACGUUGAUAGGUCGGGUGUGUAAGCGCAGCGAUGCGUUGAGCUAACCGAUACUAAUGAACCGUGAGGCUUAACCUUAC